GCCCUUGUAGCUCAGCUUGGAUUAGAGCGAGUCACUCCUAAUGACUAGGCCGUGGGUUCAAAUCCCAUCGAGGGCG
rnacentral:tRNA from 1 species